GACGAACGCUGGCGGCGUGCCUAAUACAUGCAAGUCGAACGCUUCUUUCCUCCCGAGUGCUUGCACUCAAUUGGAAAGCGGAGUGGCGGACGGGUGAGUAACACGUGUGUAACCUACCCAUCAGAGGGGGAUAACACUUGGAAACAGGUGCUAAUACCGCCUAACAGUUUAUGCCGCAUGGCAUAAGAGUGAAAGGCGCUUUCGGGUGUCGCUGAUGGAUGGACCCGCGGUGCAUUAGCUAGUUGGUGAGGUAACGGCUCACCAAGGCCACGAUGCAUAGCCGACAUGAGAGGGUGAUCGGCCACACUGGGACUGAGACACGGCCCAGACUCCUACGGGAGGCAGCAGUAGGGAAUCUUCGGCAAUGGACGAAAGUCUGACCGAGCAACGCCGCGUGAGUGAAGAAGGUUUUCGGAUCGUAAAACUCUGUUGUUAGAGAAGAACAAGGACGUUAGUAACUGAACGUCCCCUGACGGUAUCUAACCAGAAAGCCACGGCUAACUACGUG
rnacentral:rRNA from 1 species